ACAACCAGCUGCUCCUGCUCCGGGCGGCUGGCCGGCCGGCUCUGCAAACAAGCGUCCUGAUACCCGGAGUUCCCCGGGGGCCACAGCCGGCUCCUGGCAGCAGCAAAUCCUCCGAAGGCCGUGCCCACGCCCUCGGAAGACGAGCGAGCAGCCCGCGUCCCUCUCGUGGCUCCCAGAGGCCAGCUGCCUCCUCUCUUCUCCAUUGAGUCAGAGAGGGUCGUUUCUACUGCUCAGGGGAAGGUGUCUGCUCGGUGGUGUGUCCUAGGUCUGACUCAGGAAGCAGGAGCACCAGGGAUCCCGGCUUUCGGCCGAUUUCCCAGGGUUGCUGGCCCUGGCAGGAGUGGUGCAGACGGCUGCAUCUUCGAGACCGCUUGUCCUCUCUGACCUUCAGCAGCCAGACCACAGGCAGCAGCGGGGCUGUCGUGUUGGGGUUCACCUUCGCAGCCUUCUUUGUCUCAUUGUUUUAAAACCUUAGUAGAACUUUGUUUGCAGAGUGGUACCAGGCACGGAGUACUUCCUUGGAAGGAAUUUUAAAGCAGCCUGGGUUGGCAAAGGGCAUGCGAAGAACCAAUCACGCUUGAAUGUGUGUGCACAGUGGGGAAGAAAACAAUACCACUUAAAGUGUUCUUUCGAUGUUCAACCCAACUUUCCCUUCGGAUUCUUGAGCCUGGAUACCCUUUAGAAGCACAUACAAAGCAAACUCCAGUCUUUGAGAGCAUCAAGACUCGGCUCUUUCAGCCCGGAUAUGACUGAUGCAGCUUGACAGGCUCCUCCACCUAGAGCAGCUGCGAAGUCCCAGGGACUGAGUAAUGUGAUUUGGGGCAGGUUUUUCUUCGGUGCCUUGCGAUGAGGAACCAGCUUAACAAGCAGUCAUGUCUGAGUUCUCACUUCACCGCAAACCUUGCUUGAGGACUUCAGAGCUUUAAAGGGCUCUGUUCCCAGAGGAGAAGCAGGAGAAGGCACCUAGAGCCCUGUUCUAUCAGUAAGUGGAGAACAAAAGAUGUACAAGAACAGGAAGGGAAAAUAGUCCUCAGAAUGAUCAAAGUGAGGUUGAGAGGGACAAGCGCCCGAUUUUGAAGACAGGAGACUUAUUUUUCUUACUCAGCCCCUAAUUAUCCAUGUGGACUUGACGAUCUAUUUACUUCUCCUGGCU
ensembl:lncRNA